rnacentral:rRNA from 2 species
AGCAGCCAUCAUUUAAAGAAAGCGUAAUAGCUCACUGGUCGAGUCGGCCUGCGCGGAAGAUGUAACGGGGCUAAGUAGUAAACCGAAGCUGCGGCAAUAUACUUUUGUAUAUUGGGUAGGGGAGCGUUCUGUAAGCGGUUGAAGGUGUGUGGUAACGCAUGCUGGACGUAUCAGAAGUGCGAAUGCUGACAUGAGUAACGAUAA